CCUACGGGUGACAGCAGUGAGGAAUAUUGGUCAAUGGACGAGAGUCUGAACCAGCCAAGUAGCGUGAAGGAUGACUGCCCUAUGGGUUGUAAACCUCUUUUAUAUGGGAAUAAAAUGUUCCACGUGUGGGUUUUUGUAUGUACCAUAUGAAUAAGGAUCGGCUAACUCCGUGCCAGCAGCCGCGGUAAUACGGAGGAUCCGAGCGUUAUCCGGAUUUAUUGGGUUUAAAGGGUGCGUAGGUGGAUUGUUAAGUCAGUUGUGAAAGUUUGCGGCUCAAACGUAAAAUUGCAGUUGAAACUGGCAGUCUUGAGUACAGUAGAGGUAGGCGGAAUUCGUGGUGUAGCGGUGAAAUGCUUAGAUAUCACGAAGAACUCCGAUUGCGAAGGCAGCUCACUGGACUGCAACUGACACUGAGGCUCGAAAGUGUGGGUAUCAAACAGGAUUAGAUACCCUUGUAGUC
rnacentral:rRNA from 1 species